UUACUUGUGCUGAUGGAAGCUAUCAAACAGUUAUUUUACUGUCUGUAAAGAUCAGUUCUUUAACUUGGCUAUAGACAAUUGCAGACCUGACUACACUGCUCUCACUAUCUCCCUCCUUCCUGUUUUUCCCACCUGAAAGCAGGCACUGUCUAUUGGGAGCUGAAGCAUUCCCCAAAACCCUGGAACUGGUGGACUGUGUCUUUGAAAGGUAGCACACUAGAAAAAUGUCGUGAAGAUUGGGCAAAAGAGAAUGUCUGCAGUAAAAGAUGUCUUCAGGAAAGCUGCUGAGUGGAGGUUGCUGCAGUGAGGCAGUGGUGUCUCUGAGGCCUCGUGAAGUGCCCACAGUUUGUUACACAGAAAUAUUUUCGAAGGACCUGUUAUUUUUUACCCUUCUGUUGCAUUUUGUGACCAGACAAGGAGCAGAAGGCUAAUCCAAGGGCCAGCCAGGGACUGGGCACUUCAAUGUACUUCUCAGGAAGUCCUCGAAUUUGGUGUUUCUCUGGAAAUGUCAGAGGUAAAAGGAAUCUGGAGAAGCUGGAAAUAUGGAGAGCAAACUGUAGCUAUGUCCUAACAAAAUACAAGACCACAGAAGGGAAAAACAAUCCAAAGCCUAAUUUCAGGGGGGAAAACAGCACUGCCUCUUAAACCUCGUGACAGCAACACAACGUUUCUUUUACAUCUGCUUUUUACAUCUGCUUCUACAGACCACAUCCGCUUCUACAGACCACAUCCCUUCUCUGCUGUGCCCCAGGACAGCACUGGCUUGGUUACCUGAAAGAAAACCCUCUCGUGCUGCCUGUC